rnacentral:misc_RNA from 1 species
UCCGAGUUGACCCCGGCAGUCUCCCAUGAGUCCCCACCACUACGUGCUGGCAACAUGGAACGAGGGUUGCGCUCGUUGCGGGACUUAACCCAACAUCUCACGACACGAGCUGACGACAGCCAUGCACCACCUGCACACCAACCACAAGGGAAGCCCUAUCUCUAGGGAUGUCUGGCGCAUGUCAAGCCCAGGUAAGGUUCUGCGCGUUGCGUCGAAUUGAACCACAUGCUCCACCGCUUGUGCGGGCCCCCGUCAAUUCCUUUGAGUUUCAGUCUUGCGACCGUACUCCCCAGGCGGCGAACUUAACGCGUUAGCUUCGACACUGAGCUCCAAGUUGAGCCCAACGUCCAGUUCGCAUCGUUUAGGGCGUGGACUAC